CCUACGGGUGGCAGCAGUGGGGAAUUUUGGACAAUGGGCGCAAGCCUGAUCCAGCUAUUCCGCGUGUGGGAUGAAGGCCCUCGGGUUGUAAACCACUUUUGUAGAGAACGAAAAUACACCCCUUAAUAAAGGGUGUUGCUGACGGUACUCUCAGAAUAAGCACCAGCUAACUACGUGCCAGCAGCCGCGGUAAUACGUAGGGUGCGAGCGUUAAUCGGAAUUACUGGGCGUAAAGGGUGCGCAGGCGGUUGAGUAAGACAGAUGGGAAAUCCCCGAGCUUAACUCGGGAAUGGCAUAUGUGACUGCUCGACUAGAGUGUGGCAGAGGGAGGUGGAAUUCCAGGUGUAGCAGUGAAAUGCGUAGAUAUGGGGAAGAACACUGAUGGCGAAGGCAGCCUCCUGGGACAUAACUGACGCUGAGGCACGAAAGCGUGGGGAGCAAACAGGAUUAGAUACCCUGGUAGUC
rnacentral:rRNA from 1 species